rnacentral:rRNA from 1 species
UACGAGGGGUGCAAGCGUUGUUCGGAAUUACUGGGCGUAAAGCGUGUGGAGGCGGCUCGCUAAGUCUGCUGUGAAAGCCCUGGGCUUAACCCAGGAACUGCAUCGGAAACUAGCGGGCUAGAGUUCGGGAGAGGGUCGUGGAAUUCUUGGUGUAGAGGUGAAAUUCGUAGAUAUCAAGAGGAACACCGGCGGCGAAGGCGGCGACCUGGACCGACACUGACGCUAAUACACGAAAGCGUGGGGAGCAAACAGG